GACCCGGUAGCUUAACGGAAAAGUCGCGUUGCAACAUAAAACAAGGAGAGCAGGUUACAGGUUCGAAUCCUGUCCGGGUCA
rnacentral:tRNA from 1 species